rnacentral:lncRNA from 1 species
CGAACUCUGUGCCGUACAAGUACCCGGUUAUUACAGUUCAGGCCACAGAUCCAGAUUCAGGAGACAACGGACUUCUGCUCUACAGCUUAGUGGAUA